UCAAGCGAACAAGGGCGCAGGGCGAAUGCCUUGGCACUGGGAGCCGAUGAAAGACGUGAUAAGCUGCGAUAAGCUUCGGGGAGCUGCAAAUAAGCAUUGAUCCGGAGAUUUCUGAAUGAGGAAACUCACCUGGGUUCAUACUCAGGUACGUUAUACUGAACUUAAAAAUAGGUAUAUCGAGGGAACCGCCUGAACUGAAACAUCUAAGUAGGGCGAGGAAGAGACAUCAAACGAGAUUCCGUAAGUAGUGGCGAGCGAACGCGGAAGAGGGCAAACCGUGAGUAGAAAUACUUGCGGGGUAUGGACUGCUUUUAGGACUUAAUCUGUUAACCGAACGGCAUGGGAAGGCCGGUCAGAGAGUGUGAGAACCACGUAGGUGAAAACGGAAAGAGUUGCGCAGAUUCCAGAGUACGGCCAGACACGUGAAACCUGGUCGGAAGAUGGGGGGACCACCCUCCAACCCUAAAUACUACCCAGUGACCGAUAGCGUAUAGUACUGUGAAGGAAAGGUGAAAAGCACCCCGGGAGGGGAGUGAAAAAGAACCUGAAACCCUGUGCCUACAAGCACCUAGAGCACGUCAAAGUGUGAUAGGGUACUUUUUGUAGAACGGUCCGGCGAGCGAUUGUAUGCAGCAAGGUUAAGGACUUAAGGUCUGGAGCCGAAGCGAAAGCGAGUUUGAAAAGGGCGUUAAGUUGCAUAUAAUGGGCCCGAAACCGGGUGACCUACCCAUGGUCAGGUUGAAGUGGAAGUAAAAUUCCAUGGAGGACCGAACCGACCUCCGUUGAAAAGGCGGCGGAUGAACUGUGGGUAGCGGAGAAAUUCCAAUCGAACCCGGAGAUAGCUGGUUCUCCCCGAAAUAGUUUUAGGACUAGCCUCAAGUUAGAUACCUGGAGGUAAAGCACUGAAUAGCCUAGCGGCCGAGAGGUUAGCGAAGCUUAUCAAACUCAGAAUGCCAGAGUAUUGAUGCUUGGGAGUCAGACAGUGUCAGAUAAAUGUCAUUGUCAAAAGGGAAACAGCCCAGAUCUACAGCUAAGGUCCCAAAGUCAGGUUAAGUGGAAAACGAUGUGAAGAUACGCAGACAACCAGGAUGUUGGCUCAGAAGCAGCCACUCAUUCAAAGAGUGCGUAAUAGCUCACUGGUCGAGCGUCUUUGCGCGGAGAAUUUAACGGGGCUAAACCUGACACCGAAGCUUAGGCAAUGUAGUAAUACAUUGGGUAGGGGAGCGUUGUAUACGCGGUGAAACAGUAGCGCAAGCGGCUGUGGAGUGUAUAGAAGUGAGAAUGCCGGAAUGAGUAGCGCGAAUGCAGUGAGAAUCUGCAUGGCCGAAAGCCUCAGGUUUUUGGAGGAAGGUUCGUCCGCUCCAAGUUAGUCGGGAGCUAAGGUGAGGCCGGAAGGCGUAGCCGAUGCACAGACGGUAGAGAUUCCGUCACCACCAAAAGAGUUAAGCACAGGGACACAUUUGAAGUCUCAGAGCCGGGUGUUGGUUCCGGUAGAGAUCGAGGGAAGUUAGUACCGAAGUCCGGGAUGGAAGAUGGCGAGAAAAGCUGUGUGUAUUUCUGCGGUGCCCGUACCGCAAACCGACACAGGUAGGUAGGAAGAAGAUUCUAAGGCCAACGGGAGAAGGGUUGUUAAGGAACUCGGCAAAUUGACCCCGUAACUUCGGGAGAAGGGGUGCUCCAGAGAUGGAGCCGCAGAGAAUCGGCCCAAGCAACUGUUUACCAAAAACACAGGUUUGUGCUAAAUCGAAAGAUGACGUAUACGAGCUGACGCCUGCCCGGUGCUGGAAGGUUAAGAGGAGAUGUGCAAGCAUUGAAUCGAAGCCCCAGUGAACGGCGGCCGUAACUAUAACGGUCCUAAGGUAGCGAAAUUCCUUGUCAGGUAAGUUCUGACCCGCACGAAAGGCGUAAUGAUUUGGGCACUGUCUCAACAGCC
rnacentral:rRNA from 1 species